CCUGGCGGCACUAGCGCGGUGGUCCCACCUGACCCCAUGUCGAACUCAGAAGUGAAACGCCGUAGCGCCGAUGGU
rnacentral:rRNA from 1 species